GGUGUUGAGGUGGAGGUUGUGGCUGAAAGCGGCGUUGGUGUGUGGUUGUGAUUGUACGAAGAGGAGAGCGAGGUGGAGAGUUUGCAGGUGUGGCGACAAUGAAGUGAUAAAGGUGGUGGUUAUGAAGGAUUGCGGCGGUGACAGGAUGGAGAAGGAAAAGUUUUUCUACUUUUCUUUCUUUUCUUUUUAAGAGAGAGAGUAGAGAGAGACUUUGGUGGUCUCCUCUCCCUUUACCUUUUUUUAUAAUUUUUCUUUUUAUAUCCGUUGGAUGAGAGAGAGACCCUUUUUAUUAUUUUUCUUUAUAAUUAUUAUUCAAUUAAUUUCUACCUUUUGAUUGGAUGAAAAAGGAAAAACAUGGAUUGCUUAACAUGGAAGACCCUUUUUAUUAUUUUUCUUUAUAAUUAUUAUUCAAUUAAUUUCUACCUUUUGAUUGGAUGAAAAAGGAAAAACAUGGAUUGCUUAACAUGGACCAUUGAUUAAUUCGAAUUGAUGGUCCGGAUUGAAUCAAAGAAGCACACACUAUUUAAAUAAAUUAAAAUGCCUAUAAUAUUGUUUUUAGAUGACUUAAUCAAUUUCAAUCAAAUAAAAUUUCACAAUUUUUAAAAUAAUCAUGAUAAAAUUAAAAUGAUAACAUGGGAAAUUUUAUUUAUUUAAUUUGACUAUUUUGACGAAAGAACAAAAUUAAAACGACUAAAAAUGAAUAAAAGUCGGGCGAAAAUUUACUCAAAAAAUUAAAUCGGAUACAUUAAAAUGAUCAGUGCAAAAUAUACUUAUUAAAAAAAUACAGCGUUUCUUUAAAUUCUGAAAUAAGUUUGCACCGGUUAAAAGGCUCAGACGGGUCAAAACGCAACUGAAACAGCUGCUGAAAAAUAAAACGAGCACACCAGGUUAAACUACAUGAACCGUAGAUUAAUAAUAUUGGCGUCUGCAAUUUUAAUUUCGAAACUUUUUAUCCGCUGAUUUUGUCCGUACUUGAGGAAAGAUUCAACCGAUUUGUCUGUAUUUUCAAUAAAUUUAUCCUGACUGAUAUUUCAAGUAUUAUUAAUGAUAAAAUGCAUGUUAUGUUGUACAUAUGAUGUAAAUCGAAAAUUAAAUCGAAUUUAAGAAAAUUUAAAAUGCCCGGACAAAAUUGGGGUAUGACAGCUGCCCCUAUUUAAUUACCUUGAACCAGAAGGUGUGAAUGACUACAGUCUUCAUACAUUCGUGGUGGAAGAUAAUUAAAUACAAAAAGACUUGAAUUUUUUCCUUAAAAAUGUAAGAAGAAAUGCAGUGAGAAAUACAGUAAGAAAAGGAUUUUAGGAGGUGAAAUGAAACAAUCAAGACUCUCUGGGAAUUAUCAGAGCAACAUCUUGUAGACAAAUGAGAUUCUUCAAAUGAAUGAAACAGUAUCUCAAACAGACAUAUGAGAUUCUUCGGAUAAAUGAAGCAGUACCUCAAACAGAUAAAAUGAGAUUCUUCAGAUAAAUGAAGCAGUAUCUCAAAUAGAUAAAUGAGAUUCUUCAGAUAAAUGAGCAGUAUCUCAAACAGCAAAAUGAGAUUCUCUGUAUCAAAUCGAAGCAGCAUCUUAUAUGAUAGAAUUAGGAUAUACCGAACAAGGGAAUGAUACCUUAAUUGAAUCUAAGACUCUCCGAGGAUACUUAGAGCGGUAACUCUAAAAAAUCUGAAAUGAGACUCUUCAUAUUGAUGAAGCAGUAUAUCAAACAGUAAAAAUGAGAUUCUCUGUAUCGAGUCGAAGCAGCAUCUUAUAUGAUAGAAUUAAGAUAUUCCGAACAAGGGAAUGAUAGCUUAAUUGAAUCUAAGACUCUCCGAGGAUACUUAGAGCAGUAUCUCUAAAAAAUCUGAAAUGAGACUCUUCAUAUUGAUGAUGCAGUAUCUCAAACAGUAAAAAUGAGAUUCUCUGUAUCAAGUUAAAGCAGCAUCUUAUAUGAUAGAAUUAAGAUAUUCCGAACAAUGGAAUGAUACCUUAAUUGAAUCUAAGACUCUCCGAGGAUAAUUAGAGCAGUAUCUCUAGAAAUCUAAAAUGAGAUUCUCCAUAUUGAUGAAGCAGUAUCUCAAACAGCAAAAAUGAGACUCUCUGUAUCAAAUCGAAGCAGCAUCUUAUAUGAUAGAAUUAAGAUAUUCCGAACAAGGGAAUGAUACCUUAAUUGAAUCUAAGACUCUCCGAGGAUACUUAGAGCAGUAUCUCUAAAAAAUCUGAAAUUAAGAUAUUCCGAACAAGGGAAUGAUACCUUAAUUGAAUCUAAGACUCUCCGAGGAUACUUAGAGCAGUAUCUCUAAAAAAUCUGAAAUGAGACUCUUCAUAUUGAUGAAGCAGUAUCUCAAACAGCAAAAAUGAGACUCUCUGUAUCAAAUCGAAGCAGCAUCUUAUAUGAUAGAAUUAAGAUAUUCCGAACAAGGGAAUGAUAGCUUAUAUGAAUCUAAGACUCUCCGAGGAUACUUAGAGCAGUAUCUCUAAAAAAUCUGAAAUGAGACUCUUCAUAUUGAUGAAGCAGUAUCUCAAACAGCAAAAAUGAGACUCUCUGUAUCGAGUCGAAGCGGCAUCUUAUAUGAUAGAAUUAAGAUAUUCCAACAAGGGAAAGAUACCUUAACUGAAUCUAAGACUCUCCGAGGAUAUUAGAGGAGUAUCUCUAAAAGAAUCUGAAAUGAGACUCUUCAUAUUGAUGAAGCAACAUCUCAGACAACAAAAAUGAGACUCUCUGUAUCGAGUCGAAGCAGCAUCUUAUAUGAUAGAAUUAAGAUAUUCCAACAAGGGAAAAAUACUUUAAUUGAAUCUAAGACUCUCCGAGGAUACUUAGAGCAGUAUCUCAAAAAAAAUCUGAAAUGAGACUCUUCAUAUUGAUGAAGCAGUAUCUCAAACAAUAAAAAUGAGAUUCUCUUUAUCGAGUCGAAGCGACAUCUUAUAUGACAGAAUUAAGAUAUUCCAACAAGGGAAAGAUACCUUAACUGAAUAUAAGACUCUCCGAGGAUACUUAGAGCAGUACUUCUAAAAAAUCUAAAAUGAGACUCUUCAUAUUGAUGAAGCAGUAUCUCAAACAGUAAAAAUGAGAUUCUCUGUAUCGAGUCGAAGCAGCAUCUUAUGUGAUAGAAUUAAGAUAUUCCAACAAGGGAAAGAUACCUUAAUUGAAUCUAAGACUCUCAGAGGAUACUUAGAGCAGUACCUCUAAAAAAUCUGAAAUGAGACUCUUCAUAUUGAUGAAGCAGUAUCUCAAACAGUAAAAAUGAGAUUCUCUGUAUCGAGUCGAAGCAUCAUCUUAUUUGAUAGAAUUAAGAUAUCCCGAACAAGGGGAAUGAUACCUUAAUUGAAUCUUAGACUCUCUGAGGAUACUUAGAGCAGUACCUCUAAAAAAUAUGAAAUGAGACUCUUCAUAUUCAUGAAGCAGUAUCUCAAACAGUAAAAAUGAGAUUCUCUAUAUCGAGUCGAAGGAGCAUCUUAUAUGAUAGAAUUAAGAUAUUCCGAACAAGGGAAUGAUACCUUAAUUGAAUCUAAGACUCUCCGAGGAUACUUAGUGCAGUAUCUCUAGAAAUCUGAAACGAGAUUCUCCAUAUUGAUGAAGCAGUAUCUCAAACAACAAAAAUGAGACUCUCUGUAUCGAGUCCAAGUAGCAUCUUAUAUGAUAGAAUUAAGAUAUUCCAACAAGGGAAAGAUACCUUAACCGAAUCUUAAGACUCUUGAGGCUACUAGGAGCGUACCUCUAAAAAAUCUUGAAAUGAGACUCUGUCAUAUUGAUGAAGCAGUAUCUCAAAAGUAAAAAUGAGUUCUCUGAAUCGAGUCGAAGGAGCAUCUUAUAUGAUUAGAAUUAAGAUAUUCCGAACAAGGGAAUGAUACCUUAAUUGAAUCUAAGACUCUCCGAGGAUACUUUAGGAGCAGUAUCUCUAGAAAUCUGAAAUGAGACUUCUCCAUAUUGAUGAAGCAGUAUCUCAAACAGCAAAAAUGAGACUCUCUGUAUCGAGUCGAGAGUAGCAUCUUAUAUGAUAGAAUUAAGAUAUUCCAACAAGGGAAAGAUACCUUAACCGAAUCUAAGACUCUCUGAGGAUUACUUAGAGCAGUCUCUAAAAAAUCUGAAAUGAGACUCUUCAUAUUGAUGAAGCAGUAUCUCAAACAGUUAAAAAUGAGAUUCUCUCGUAUCGAGUCGAAGGAGCAUCUUAUAUGAGAAUUAAAUAUUCCGAACAAGGGAAUGAUACCUUAAUUGAUCUAAGACUCUCCGAGGAUACUUAGAGCAGUAUCUCUAGAAAUCUGAAAUGAGAUUCUCCAUAAUUGAUGAAGCAGUAUCUCAAACAGCAAAAAUGAGACUCUCUGUAUCGAGUCGAAGUAGCAUCUUAUAUGAUAGAAUUAAGAUAUUCCAAAGGGAAGAUACCUUAACCGAAUCUAAGACUCUCCGCGGAUACUUUGAGCAGUACCUCUAAAAAUCUGAAUGAGACUCUUCAUAUUGAUGAAGCAGUAUCUCAAACAGUAAAAAUGAGAUUCUUGUAUCGAGUCGAAGCGGCAUCUUAUAUUAUAGAAUUAAGAUAUUCCGAACAAGGAAAUGAUACCUUAAUUGAAUCUAAGACUCUCCGAGGAUACUUUAGAGCAGUAUCUCUAGAAAUCUGAAAUGAGAUUCUCCAUAUUGAUGAAGCAGUAUUUCUCAAACAGCAAAAAUGAGACUCUCUGUAUCGAGUCGAAGCAACAUCUUAUAUGAUAGAAUUAAGAUAUUCCAACAAGGGAAAGAUACCUUAACCGAAUCUAAGACUCUCCGAGGAUAUUAGAGUUGUAUCUCUAAAGGAAUCUGAAAUGAGACUCUUCAUAUUGAGGAAGCAGUAUCUCAAAUAGCAAAAAUGAGACUCUCUUUAUCGAGUCGAAGCAACAUCUUAUAUGAUAGAAUUAAGAUAUUCUAACAAGGGAAAGAUACCUUAACCGAAUCUAAGACUCUCCGAGGAUAUUAGAGCAGUAUCUCUAAAAACAAAAAUGAGAUUCUUCAAAUGAACGAAGCAGUAUCUCAAACAGAGAAAUGAGAUUCUUCAGAUAAAUGAAGCAGUAUGUCGAAUAUUCGUCUGUUGGGGGAAUAUUUAAGAAAAGACUCCUUUUGAGGGAGAUAUACUAGGAAUGCUCUGUAGGGGGAAAACUCAUAAGAAACUUUUUAGGGUAACCUCUACUUGGGGAGCAAUGAUUGUAAAGAAAAAUGCUGGGAAUAUCAUUAUUAAUCAUAAAGUUUUGAAAGAUGAUUUGCUGAGAAAUAAUCUCACGAGCAUAUGCAGGGUAAUAACUUCAUUUGGAAAUGAAUAUCAUUAUUAAUCAUAAAGUUUUGAAAGAUGAUUUGCUGAGAAAUAAUCUCACGAGCAUAUGCAGGGUAAUAACUUCAUUUGGAAAUGAGGAAUGUCCAAGAUAUACAUGAAUGACCUUGGAUCCUAAUAUUUUGGUGUGAUUUUUGUAUGAUGUUCUACUUUGAGCGACAAUACUAUGCAUGGGAUGAUGCAUGAUAUGUAUGAAGGGAUGCAAUUGUUGGGGAUAUUUGGUUGUGCAUGUAAGAAUGCGAAUGAUUUUUAUUUUGUUGAAAUUCCCAUUUUGUGGGAGUGUUAUGCAUGAGUAUCCUGAUGAUUGAUAUGACUGUGUUUUUUUUUUGAAUUUUCUAUUUGGUAGGAAAACCAUUUACGAAUGAUUCAUAUGAUGCAUAUGGGAAAGCAAAUGGGUAAUUGGAUAUUCUUGUAAGGUUUUAUUCUUGACUGUCAAUGAGGUUGGACUUUAAAUGGGAACUUCCAGAUGAGAACUGGUGAAGGAGAUUGAACUGCCAGAUGAGGACAACACUUGAAGGAUAUGUUACCAGACGCGAACUGGUAAAAGUAAUUGAAAUGUCAAACUGGACUGAAUUUUUUUUGUUUGUCAGACAGGAACUGAUUUUUAAAGUAGGCUACCAGACGAGAACUGUUGAAAAUAAUUGACUACCAGACGAGAACUGGUAUCGAAAUAGGUGACCUACCAGACGGGAACUGGUAUUAAGAGAUAAUUUCCCAGAUGAGAACUGGUAUUUGGAAAAUGAUUUGUCGUACAAGAACUGAUUUUUGAUAUAGUUUGCCAGACGGGAACUGGACUUUGGAAUAAGUUGCCAGACGAGAACUGGACUUUGAAAUAAAUUGCCAGACGGGAACUGGGCUUUGAAAUAAAUUACCAGACGGGAACUAGGCUUUUGAAAUAAGUUGCCAGACGGGAACUGGACUUUGAAACAAAUUGCCCGACGAAAACUGGACUUUGAAAUGGCCAAGCGACGUUGGGCUUUGGUGUCAGAUUUUGUGUUUCAAGGCUUUUUGAUGCCAGGUUCUUGUUAUGGGGUUAGACCCAAUGAAUUUUAUGAUAUGCAUGGUUUUACGUUAGAGCAAAGCGACAUGACUAAUGCAUCAUAAUGCUUUAUGCAAUGAUUUGCAAGUUUCCAAAAUACCCCUGCGUGGGUAUUGGAGGAUAAGGUUCUUUCCAGAAAGGCUUCUAUCUGUCAAAAGGUUAUUUUAUGGGGUGGUAGCAUGAUUCCCCGACACUCAUCUUGAACUCUGCAUUUGCUGACUCGAAAAAAGAUUUUGCUUGAACUGCUUGAAAACAUGGAGCGGACUCGCUCUUGUAUGGCUCAUCUUGCCCCAAUGUGAUGGGUCUAUGCAAAAUGUUUGCCUCGAAAGGAUUUUGAAAGCGAUUGUACCGUAAUUUGGAGAUGGAUUGCCCCAGACUUUUGAUCCAUGAAAGGAUUUAUCCUUGGUUAACCGACUCUUGGAGUGGUUGACUUUUCUAUGCCCUUGAGGUAGCUUGCCUCGAUAUGAGCGUUGAAGCGACUUAACUCACCUUGACUGAACAUUGAAGGGGUUUGCCCCUGGCCACCAGAACCUCUAGGUGAUCUGCCCAUAGUUAAUAGAGUCCUGAGAUGAUUUGCUCUAGAUCAACUGAUUCUUGAAAUGAUUUGCACAUUUAUUAACAGAUGUUGGAGACUGUUUAAGACUGACUAAUUCUUGGAGUAAUUUUCCUAUGAUCAACUUGAUGUUUUGGGUGGCAUGCACCUGAUUCGUGGGUUAUGAGGUAGUCUUGAUUCUGGUGAAUGGUCAACUUUCACUGGUUGCUCUUUGUUGAAAUUUCCUUGAUGUCAAGUAAUGAAUUACAAUUAAAAUUGUUCACUCAUAAUGGUAAUUUUAAUGCGAUAUUCAUGCAAGUUUUGAAAAAAUCAUUUAUUGGAAUGAUAUGAUAUUGUGUGACGAGUGGACCAUGAGUCCAAAUGUAAUGUUGAUUUAGAAAUUUAAAGUGUGAAAGACACAGCGGGAAUAAUGACAUUGAUGUUGAAUAUUAGAAAAUCUUUAGGAGUCAGUUUACGCAACUUUGCUGUAAUAUGCUUUCGGAAAUAACCCUACCUCAAUUAGGUCUUUUGAGGGUUGUAACGUGGCCUAGUUCAUGGUUUUUGAAACAAAGGGUGUAAGGCUCAAUUUUUUUUCUGUACCCACCCUUCUUCUUGAUAAACUCCAGUCCUAUGAUCAGUUAAUUCGCCAUACACAUUCAACUUUUAAGAGAGUUUGCAGGUGGAAUAUCUCUUGAAAUGACAGACACUUUAUUUUACUCUUCAUGGAUAUUGGUGACCCUUUGAUUUUUGAUAUGGUGGUCACUAAAUCUUAUUUUUAUUUUGUUGAGGGUUUUCGUGACUUCCUUUGAUUUUUGUUUUGAUACCUAACUUUUGCAUGGACCAUUUUUUGAAGAUUUAGUCCAUCGGGAUUGCCCCAGUUUUUGCCUAAGUCUCCUUUUGGGGUAUCGACUUAGCGGGCUUUUUAUUGAUUCCCUUUUUUAGAAUGUGACUUCCAAGUCAUUGGUCAUUGAAGAACAACCGUCAUAACUUUUUGAUUUUUCAAGGUUCCUUCGACACUUUAGGAUGUGUGCGAAGAAUGUCAUGUAGUUGAUCCACAUACUGGAUAUUUCAUCUUGUGAAACACUUUAGGAUGUGUGCGAAGAAUGUCAUGUAGUUGAUCCACAUACUGGAUAUUUCAUCUUGUGAUUUGAAUGCAUAGUCAGAUUAACUGAACACUACCCUGCCCCAGGUUUAAUGUAAGGUUUUUAGAUCCGAAAGAAACUCCUACUUGAGGCUCGAAGUGGUUGACUAGGGAUUAACUCCUUAUCUCUCCAGUGUUUGGGAAUUUGAAACAAUGCUUGUACAUCAUCAGCAGGAUUUUAUCCGAAAGCAUAUACUCAGCAAUUAUGGGUAGCUUGUUUUCGUCAUCCUCCCUCAAAUCUUUGCUAAAACAAAGGUUAUGAUAAAGAAAAGUGAAUGGGUGAAACAGUGAUGUAUUUUUGUUUUUGAUAUAAGAGAAGAAAAAUGAGCGAAUGCGAGAUAAUUAAUUCAAAACAUGCGUCAUUACUUCAUCAAUAUUACUAUUAAAAACAACAAUGUUUAAACACAAGCAGCUUUUAACAACAAAGAAACUACAAAUGCAAAAAUAGACACAAAUCAGUCCAACGAUUGCCAGUGUUGAGGAUGUCUUCCUUUUUUGAUGAAACUAUCAUAGUGUCCACAAGUUGGUCUAACUGAUUUUUCAUCGAGUCCACAUCUCCUCCCAAUGCAAUAUGACUUUGCUCCAACGGAUCCAUGAUCUUUCAAGAGCUACUUCAAGUCUGAUAUGAGUAUCGGGAAAUCAAUUGCAGGCUAUGGAUGAAGGGUGGAUGAGUUUUUUUUGUAUAUAUUUUGUAUGAAAGGUGAUAUGAAAUGUAUGAUGAUGAAUGCAAAUGUAAUGAUAUGUGUAUGAAUGUAGUGACAUGUUUAGGAUCACAGGUUCAAGGUGUUCUCAGAUGGAUCAGAAUAACGGGUAAAUGACAGGUAUCUCUGAUUAAUGGAACCCCAUGGGUAGGCUCUACAGAAUGUAGUGACAUGUUUAGGAUCACAGGUUCAAGGUGUUCUCAGAUGGAUCAGAAUAACGGGUAAAUGACAGGUAUCUCUGAUUAAUGGAACCCCAUGGGUAGGCUCUACAGUUGGUAGGUUCCCAUAGUCAUGGGUAUUUCUUGAGGACGUCACUGCCGUGACGAAGACUCGUCGGACAAUAGUAUCCUUAAGAAGAUCUCGUCUAGGUGAGGUCUUUGUAUUAUCCCAACAAGGAAAACUCCACGAGGAUUCUACUACACGACUCUCGAGUCCAGGGUUCUAACAAGGUUCUCAGAGUCAUAAACCGAGGUUGGAAAUAUUACUGUAAGAUAGCAAUAUGUCCAAGGGAUCUCAUUUGAUUGGGGACUUCGUAUUAACCCAACAAGUCUGAAACUUCGUAGGUUAAUACUACAUAACCGCCAGAUAUAGUGGGUUAAAAGGUCCUUAGAGUCAUUGAUCCAACUUGAGAAUACUAUCGUCGUGACGAAGACUCGUCGGGCAACAAUAUCUCAAGAGAAUCUCCUCUAGGCAGGGUCUUCGUUUCUUCCCAACAAGGAAGACUCCUUGCGGGCGCCCACUACGCAACCACCAACUUAAUCUUAUGGUUUUUCUCAGACUCGGGUGGAGAGCCUAUCUCACAAAGUAUCACCAACCAGAGAAAGACUCCUUGCGGGCGCCCACUACGCAACCACCAACUUAAUCUUAUGGUUUUUCUCAGACUCGGGUGGAGAGCCUAUCUCACAAAGUAUCACCAACCAGAGGCCCCCAAAUAAGACAUAGUCAAUAAAUCAUAAUAUAGUAAUUAUGAUAGAAUAAUAAUAGCAGAAUAGAAAAAUAACAGACAAACAAACAAGAUUAACACACAAUACAGAAACUGAACUAAAUUAGGCUUCACUCUCUUGUGCUUGGAGCUAAUCCCCAGCAGAGCCGCCAUCUAUCGCAUCUCGAAAAUACGAUUCCUCGCGAUGGUUGCGGAAAAAAUUACGUUCGAACAGAGUCGCCACCGAACUUUAUUUAUCCCAAUAAAGGGAUAGGAAAAUAUCGAUAAAACCUUUAGGAAAUGGAAUAAUGGUCGUCGCAACCAUAUUCGGGUUCGGGAGUUGAUUACGCAAGGGGAAGGUAUUAGCACCCCUCACGUCCGUUUUACUCAACGGGAACCUUUUAGUUCUACUUUGCGUUUUAAGUGUUAAUUUAUGUUGUUUGUUAUCUGUAGGUUAUAAAUUUAUUAAAAAUAGAAAUAGAUGAGAACAAAGGGAAAAGGGAGGUUUUUUAUUAGUGUGCUCGCGAAGAUACAACAAUCUCCUGCCUACGUAUCCUUAUGGUAUAAUAAGGAAAUCAGAGCAUUCGUAGUUCAGGGAACUACGGCUGGUUGGUGUUUUUUAAUGAACAACUGUUUGGAUCGCAUCCUAAAGGCUAGACGUUGGCUUGUCUACUCUCGGAGGAGGCUUAAGCAUUGGUUUGUUGUGCACAUUAGAAAGGAUUAACAGUGUUCUUUCUGAAAAGAGUUUUGGUCACACGGGGGAGACAAGUUGGAUUCAUAUGUUGGAUAUUUUGUUUGACUGGUUGUGUUGAGAUAUUUUGGUUGGAUGACGAUUACUCGGAUAGUCGAGUAAGACAACUCGUAUCCUAACCGUCGGGAAAGGGAAUAGAAGACUCUACACCAUUUUCUUUUCAUCCUUUAUUGUGAGAGGAGUUGAUAAUAGCUAAGGUAUUUUGAUUGGAUGACGAUUACUCGGACGGUCGAGUAAGACAACUCGUAUCCUAAUAAUCGGGAAAGGGAGUAGAAGACUCUAGACCGCUUUCUUUUUCAUCUGAGUGGUUAUGAAAAUAAGUUUAUGUAUGGUUGAUGGAUUUUAGAAUAGACGACAAGUACUUGAAUGGCUGAGUAAGACAACUCAUAUCCAAGCAUUGAGAAGAGGAAAUUGAAAACUCAAGCCCAUCUUCCUUUUCGUACAGUUUAUUAUGAAAGUGAUUUGACUUGCAGUAUGAGUUAGCAGAAAAUGACAAUAGUUUGACUGACCGAGUAAGAGAACUCGUAUUAAACAAUUGAGGAGAGAAGUUGAAACUCAAAGUCAUCCCCUUUUUCAUUUAGCUUAUUAUGAAAAUAAUUUUAAUCGGGUUUAGAGUUUGUAGAGGAACGACAAUUAUUUGACUAACCAAGUAAGAGAACUUGUAUUCAAAUAGUCGUGGAGAAAAAUUGAAGACUCAAAGUUUCUCCCUUUUAGUUUCUGUUGUAAAAGUAUUGAUUUGUUUGUGCUUAAAUGGAUUAGAAAUGACGACUAUUUGACUAACCGAGUAAGAAAACUCGUAUUAAAUAAUCGAGGAGAGGAGUUGAAAACUUCAAAACCAUCCCCCUUUCAUUUUCAAAUGAAUAGUGUGUGUUAAAUGUGAUUAGUAUUUAAUAUUAACUUGUUUAUAAGAAUAUUCGAUGUCGGAUCGGGGUUUAAAAAUUGUGUUUGUGUUAAUAAAUUGGGUUUAUUUAGUGAAUCAAUCAUCUACUCGAUUAAAAUCGAAUAUGUCUCAUUGUAAGAAAGCCGAAGAGUAAGCUAUGUGAGGUUGAUGGCGAUGCUUAAAAGCGAUCGACUUACGAGGUGUUUGAGAAUGGGCUUGACUUGGAACAAGAAUUGGUGUCGUUUUAGUGGUUUAAAGUGGUUUUGAAAUUGGUUUGGAUGAUGAUGAAAUUGAAUUGGUAUUGAUUUAGAAAUGAUUUUUAUGCUUAAAUGAAAUUGAUCCAAAUUAUAUAUCAUAAAUAUCAUGUGUUAACUAACUAUGGAAUCCCUUACUUUAAGACUUUCUAUUAUCACCUUGAUUAUAGUAUUUGACUGUUUUAAAACUAUUCACAAAGGAGUAAAAAUAAAAGAAAUAAUCAAUCCACCGUCUAACCUUUAAUUACUUAAACAACCAUAUGCACUUAUGUUAUCAAUUUAAAUCUAAAUAUUUUGUUAGUAAAAAUAAAAUAGCACUCAAGACUUAAUAGCAGCAAGUGACACCUAGAGGCAAGAUAUAACUCCAACACUUAUUAUGUUUCAACACCUAUUAAUUAUCAACACUUGAAAUUGAUUAAUAAUGAAUAACCCACAUAUAUUGAAAGAAUAGAAGUAUUGUGGAAACAAUCGUUAAUCACUUAAACAACCAUAUGCACUUAUGUUAUCAAUUAAAUCUAAAUAUUUUGUUAGUAAAAAAUACAAUAGACACUCAAGACUUAAUAGCAGCAAGUGGCACCUAGAGGCAAGAUAUAACUCCAACACUAUUAUGUUUCAGCACCUAUUAAUUAUCAACACUUGAAAUGGAUUAUAAUGAAUAAACCCACAUAUAUUGAAAGAAUAACAGUAUGUGGAAAUAAAAGGGAGAAAAACAAAAUUAGAGGAACAUUGAAGAUAGUAGUAUUGUGGAAAUAAAAGGGAGAAAACAAAAUUAGAGGAACAUUGACUCGUUGUAUGAUCUUUCACUCUUCUUUACCAGGGUCGGUCCGAAAAUGGCAUGUGGUAUCUAGUUGGUUAAAAUAAACAAGAUAAAAGCUAACAUUAAACCUUAACAGUAAAUGAGAAAAGUGUUUCAAUUAACUCUUCCAAAAUUUCUACAUAUUUACAUAUUUUAGUCUCAAAGAAAACCAUAGCUUCUACUCAAGCAAAAACAAUAUCACAGUAACAAUCCACAAAUGAAUACAAUAUCAAAAUCCAAGUACACGAAAUAAAAUAAACCAGAUUGAAUCAAAAAUUUCAAAACAACACAAAUUAAUUCCAUACUCACACACAUCCUCUAACAGGAACUCGAUAAUUACCGAAUCGCAUCUUUCAUCAGUAACUACACAAAUACCGCCAUCAAUUUAUGCAACAGAUCCAUUAAAAUAACGCAACGAAAAACCAAUAAAAGCAAUAAAACAUCUUAAACAUGUCAUGGUAUCAAACCGAAUUUGUUACGGAUUCGUUACCGGGAGAUAUGAACGAUGUGUGACGACGUCGAUGCGUCGGCAUUUGGAAUCUGACAGAUGGUUCAGUGAAGAGGGCGAGCGAAAUUGAAGGUAAAUCGGAAACAAAUCAGUGGAGAGGUGAGUUGGACGUCGUCGGCGGAGGAGAAAAAACGGAAUCUGGUUUUUGGCGGUGGGGUAAGAAGAAAGAGUAACAGUGGGUGUUGAGCGGGGUUGAGGUGGAGGUUGUUGCUGAAAGCGGCGUUGGUGUGUGGUUGUGAUCGUACGAAGAGGAGAGCAAGGUGGAGAGUUCGUAGGUGUGGCGACAAUGAAGUGAUAAAGGUGGUGUUUAUGAAGGAUUGCGGCGGUGACAGGAUGGAGAAGGAAAAGUUUUUCUACUUUUCUUUCUUUUCUUUUUCAGAGAGAGAGUAGAGAGAGGUAUGAUAUUUUUGUGAGAUGCGUGUGUGUGAAUUUAAGCAGAGAGAGACGUUGGUGGUCUCCUCUCCCUUUACCUUUUUUUAUUAUUUUU
rnacentral:lncRNA from 1 species